GCUGUGGUAGCGCAGUUGGUAGAGGAUUGGACUUGUAAUCCAAGGUAGCAUGUUUGGUACAUGCCCUUGCCA